UCCCUGGUAAUCAUACUUCUGCCUUUCCAGCCCAAAGCCCCAAGCUGACUCCCCAAACCUGGCACAGCUGGGAGCUUUGUCACCACAUGCAGAUGUUCCCUCCCAGGCUGUGCCCAGCAUCACAGACCCAGGCCCUGUCACCAUGAAUGCCUGUGCCCUCCCUCCUGGCCUGGACUGCAAUCUUGCUCACAUUUCAAGGGUAAUUUAAUCCAUCUGGCCCUGAUUCGUGCAUCUCGAGUGUGCCUGCUGGGGACUCAUGUGUCAUCAUUUCCCCUGGAACUGGUUCCAAGCAGGCCCCAAGUGAGCUCCAAGCCAGGGGGCCCUUGAAUUUUCUGGGUGACAGGCUCCCUGGUCACCGGUGCACACAGCGGCCUUAUAGGGAAGGCGAGCUCUGAUUGCUGGGCGUACCGCGGCUGGAAAGUCCUCCAGUUUUCCAGAGGGAGCUGGACUCAGUGCAGUGGAGCCUGUGAGUCGGUGACUCUGAGGGGACGGCUGCUCUUCUGCAGGCGGUCCUUUGUGUGGUUCCUGGAGCAGGGGAUCUGCACAGAGGACCCCUUUCAACUUCCCCAGGUAUUUCUGGGAGAGCCCAGAGAUGUCACACAUGAACUCUCACGGCCUAUGAAUGAAGAACCUUCUGCUGGAGUGAGGGGCUGCGGAGGGAGGGAGGACGAAAAAUGAGGAUGGGAACGCGACCUAUACCUGCAACCUCUAAGAAGUUGUGAACAGUUGUGCCAAGGGGGCGGUGUCCCCUCCCACUGCGCAUCUUCCGCUGCGCAGGUGCUACUGCGCAUCUUCUAGUGCGCAUGUGCCACGGACGCUUUCUGAGCCCGCGUUUUCCAGAGCCCGCGUUCCCGUGAACCCAAGUCUAGCUUCAGGCCGGGGUCUCUUCCUAGGCCUCCUACCUGAGUCUGUGAUGCAGGUUUGAGCAUCAGUAUCUGAGACUGACACCAUCUGUCCGCGAUUCUAAGACGCCUCCAGCCCUCACAAGAGCAGAUCUCCUCUGCAAGCUGCCUGAGAAAAAAAGGAAGGAAAAAACCUGAAACCAAGAACUCAUCCAGCCGCCAGUACCUACCAUCAUCCCCAAACAGAAGUUUUUCAGGGCUCAGGUCUGGCUGCCCUGCAUUCCAGGCUUUUCCAGGCUUUUCCGACCUGGCUUCCCCACCCCAGGCGAUGCUGGUAAGGAGAAACCUUUGAAAUAGAUGAGUGCUUUGCAUGAGAAUUGAUAAGUAAUUUAACCUCAGUACAAACUGCUUGUGGAGGAAGCGGUAUCCCUGAAAUAAUUUUAAGGCCAGUGCAUAAAACUCUUAGGUAAAAAUACCUCAGCUAAUGGUUAUUGAUCUUCUGAAAUCACGUUCUUAAUUUUGAAGAUAGUUGAAAGAAGGGGGGAACACCACAAAGAGAGUUGGCAAAUUUCAAACUGCAUGUUGAAUUUUCACACGAUUUAGGCCAAAACGCUCUGCAAUUUGUAGAUCUGUAAAGGUUAAAAUUCCUCAGACCACAUGUUUUCUUGAGCUGCAGAAUCAUGGCCAGGGGCUUGCUAGGGAUGUCUUCAGCAGCAGAUAUUUGUUGCGGGGAGAAAAGCCUUGUAUUAAACAUAAGACAGAAAGUGAAACUGAUAUUCUUCAUGCAUUUCUUUGAGUUACAGCCUGGUCUGGCAUUCAUUUAAACCAAAUAUUGC
ensembl:lncRNA